UUCUUACAGGUGACGGCGGUUGAAAAGAGCAGUAGUGUCAUGUCCGCCAUAUUUUUUACUUCGCGUGGUGUUCUCUUAAAACGUAUAAGGGCUGAACACUGGGUUCAUCAAGGCUGAUUACUGGAUUUUAGAGGCUGACCACUGGCAAAAAGUGCCAUAUUUUGUUUGAAUUUAUAUAUAUAUAUUGUAAAGAGAAAGGUUGUUUUUGACAUAUGUUGUUUAAAAACUAUAAUAAACAAUUAAUCUAAUCA